GACCACGUAGCUCAGUUGGCAGAGCAUUGGACUAGUAUCCCAAAGGUCGCGGGUUCGAUUCCCACCGUGGUCA